GAUGAACGCUGGCGGCGUGCUUAACACAUGCAAGUCGAACGGUGAACGAGGGAGCUUGCUCCCUCCGGAUCAGUGGCGAACGGGUGAGUAACACGUGAGCAAUCUGCCCUGGACUCUGGGAUAAGCGUUGGAAACGACGUCUAAUACCGGAUACGAGGCGUGGGGGCAUCCCCAACGCCUGGAAAGAACUUCGGUCCAGGAUGAGCUCGCGGCCUAUCAGCUAGUUGGUGAGGUAACGGCUCACCAAGGCGACGACGGGUAGCCGGCCUGAGAGGGGGACCGGCCACACUGGGACUGAGACACGGCCCAGACGCCUACGGGAGGCAGCAGUGGGGAAUAUUGCGCAAUGGGCGGAAGCCUGACGCAGCGACGCCGCGUGGGGGAUGACGGCCUUCGGGUUGUAAACCUCUUUCAGCAGGGACGAAGCCGCAAGGUGACGGUACCUGCAGAAGAAGCACCGGCCAACUACGUGCCAGCAGCCGCAGUAAGAC
rnacentral:rRNA from 1 species